CCAAUAGCGUAUAUUAAAGUUGUUGCAGUUAAAAAGCUCGUAGUUGAAUUUCGGGAUCAAUUUAUUGGUCGUGCUAUUGUACGUACUGGUAUUAUUGGUUCCUACCUUCUGACGAACCAUGAUGUCAUUAAUUUGGUGUCAUGGGGAAUCAGGACUGUUACUUUGAAAAAAUUAGAGUGUUUAAAGCAGGCUCACGCUUGAAUACAUUAGCAUGGAAUAACGAAAUAGGACGUUUGAUUCUAUUUUGUUGGUUUCUAGGAUCGACGUAAUGAUUAAUAGGGAUAGUUGGGGGCAUUAGUAUUCAAUUGUCAGAGGUGAAAUUCUUGGAUUUAUUGAAGACUAACUACUGCGAAAGCAUUUGCCAAGGAUGUUUUCAUUAAUCAAGAACGAAAGUUAGGGGAUCGAAGACGAUCAGAUACCGUCGUAGUCUUAACCAUAAACUAUGCCGACUAGGGAUCGGAUGAUGUUAAUUUUUUAAUGACUCAUUCGGCGCCUUACG
rnacentral:rRNA from 1 species